GAUGAACGCUGGCGGCGUGCUUAACACAUGCAAGUCGAACGAUUAAACUGGCUUCGGCCAGAUAUAGAGUGGCGAACGGGUGAGUAACACGUGACCAACCUGCCCCGCGCUCCGGGACAACCGCUGGAAACGGCGGCUAAUACCGGAUGCUCCGGGGAGGCCCCAUGGCCUCCCCGGGAAAGCCUUAACGGCGCGGGAUGGGGUCGCGGCCCAUUAGGUAGACGGCGGGGUAACGGCCCACCGUGCCCG
rnacentral:rRNA from 1 species